rnacentral:rRNA from 1 species
CACGAACCCGUACGAACGUUAUUCGGAAUUACUGGGCUUAAAGGGUUUGUAGGCGGCCUUGUAAGUCAGGUGUGAAAGCCCUCGGCGUCAACCGAGGAACAGCGCUUGUAUACUGCAAGGCGUUGUAGGGAGGACAGGGGUAAGGCGGAACUGAUGGUGGAGCGGUGAAAUGCGUUGAUAUCAUCAGGAACACCGGUGGGGAAAGCGGCUUACUGGGUCUCUUCUGACGCUGAGGAACGAAAGCUAGGGUAGCGAAC